CUUAUGUUGCAAUGAUGCCAAUCAGAGAACUCGGUGCAGAUAUUCUUACCAUCCAAGCAAGUGAGACCGCUACAUCUGAUGAUUUGGUGAUUGCCAUUGGUGCUACUAACAAGCCACCGGAGUUGGAUGAUUCAGUGCUUAGAAGAUUGAUUUGUGGAGGAGGAUCCUACGAUUGAUCGGUGAUGGCUUUGACUGAUCCUUGUCUCUCAUUCAUGCUAUUCUUCUAGGAUUGUCGCGGAGGAUGCUUUGAUGGAUCGUUUUUGUCUUCUCUGCGUUACAUCUUCGGAUCGUUGAGGCACCUGGAUUACUGUGUGGGAGGUUCAAAGAGAAAACAUUGUGGGAGUUUAACUUUCAGAUUGAGAGAUGAUCUACAUAUCCUUUCCUAGACGAAUUGUGGAGACACCGGGACUAAUAUGAUAAAUCUUAGCAUUGUACGAAAAUAUAUCUUUUUCUCAUGCAGAUCGUGGAGGCACCGGGACUGAUAUGAUAAAUCUUUCUUCUGAUCGUGGAGGUUCAAGGCCGUGUUGGUGAGUGAGGUUUCAAGUAAUGUGCUCAUCUUCUUAGUGUCGCUGGCAUCUAUGUUAUAAGUCGAAGGCCUUGUCUUUUGUUAUAGAGAUAGUCGAGGGUUUAUAAGAGAAAGGCAUCAGGUCACGAACUGGUCUCUUUCCCCAUUUUCCUCUGUUUAUCUUAUGCUGCAUCUAUUCAUAUUGUUCGAUUCUAUUCUCAAUGGUUGUCUUAAUAGGGAUGAUUCUAUUCCUAGCGUUUGAUCCCAAUUACAUAUGCUUGUGACGAUAGCUUCUUUUUAUUCAGUAUAAAAUACUUCCCUUCAUUAUAGUUGUUGACGAUGCAAAAGAGGCAUGCUCCUUUUUUGUUUUUUAUUGGCAUCGUGGGAUGUAACUUUAUUUGUUUUUUGUUUGUCUUUUUCUGUUUUGGUUACUACUAUAUUUCAUGGAGAUGUGAUCAACUUUCUUUCCCCUUGUCCGUUUUUGCCUUUCUGAUUUUGAGUCUGCGUCUUUUCUGUGGUUUAAAUGGUAAUCACCUCUGCUUGAGAUAAAGUAAUUAUCUUUGCAUAGGAGUUUGAAUGUUUUAAAGUGGAAGCUCUGUGUCUGUAUUUCAUGGAGAAUGUUGUCAGGUUUCCUUCUCCUUACCUGUUUUUGCCUUUCUGAUUUUGUGAUUUUGUAGUAUGCAUAUUUUCUAUGUUUAAAUGCUGUCACGGCCUGCUUUGUUUUGCUUGUUUCUGGCACCUGUGGUGAUCGUAUUUGUAGGUGUUGGAAUGGGUUUGAUUGUUUUGUUGAUUUAUGUAGUAGUGAUAAGGAGAGGGUGAAAAAUCAAGUAUCUGAAAGACUGCAAGCUUUGGGUAAGCGUACAGGUGUUGGAAUGUCUGAGAAUAAGAGAACCGUAGCAUCUCCAUCUUCAGCUUCAGUUUCCUGCAAGCCCAAAACCUGUGGAAUAAUCUAGAAAUUUCCACGAUGAUAAACACGACAAUAGUGGAUGGAAGCAAUCUGUGAAAUGGGAUGAUGUUGCUGGACCUGAUGGAGCUAAACAACCUUUACUGGAGAUGGUUAUAUUACCGGCAAAGCCAAGAGAUUUGUUCAUUGGAGUCCGGAGACCACCAGCUAGAGGUAAAAUUUGCAAUCUCUGAGGAAUCUAUCAUCAAUAGGGUCCAAGAGUUCGUACUUGGUUGCAUCAAGCUUCAUGAAGAACGUUAAAACAUCCUCCGCUUCUCCUUGUCGUAUUUCAUUUCUAUUAGCCGAUAUGUAUUUUUCAGACAAACGUUCAAAGGAUGUCAUUUUGGGUUUCAUUGUUGCGGGGAGAGAUACUAUUGCAUCCUCACUCACUUGGUUCUUCUGGCUUCUGUCUGAAAACCCUAAAGUGGUGGCUGGGAUUCACCAAGAGAUCAACACAAAUCUACUAAGAUUCGGAAGUGGUCUUGGAGAGACCGUCUCAUGACCCCGCAGAGCUGAACAAAUUGGUGUAUUUACACGGCGCAUUGUUAGAAUCAAUGACGCUUUACCCACCAAUUCCGUUCCAACGCAAGUCAGCAAUCAAACCAGAUGUUCUUCCAAGUGGGCAUAAAGUCGAUGCAGACUCAACGAUCAUUUCUCUAUGCGAUGGGGAGGAUGAAAGCGAUUUGGGGAGAGAUGGGUUUCCGAAACAGGAGGAUUAAGACAUGAGUCUUCUUACAAGUUCUUUUCAUUUAAUGCCGAACUGAGAGCUUGUCUUGGUAAGCAUUUUAUCUAUGAUCCAGUUGAAAACGGUGGUUGUGGAGAUAGUACAAAAUUAUGACAUUGAGGUCGUCAAGAAACAGAAAAUUGAACCCUACACUGGAGCUAAUCAAUCAGCUUGUAAUAACGAGACAAAAAUUUUUUUUUUCACAAUAGUCUCAUUUGAUUCCCUCGUUUGGGCUUGUGGCUACGGUAAUAACGAGACAAACUAUAUUAUGUUUUUUUUUUUAUGAUUGAUGAAUAAAUAUAUGAAUUGUUUA